rnacentral:rRNA from 1 species
UACAGAGGGUGCGAGCGUUACUCGGAAUUACUGGGCGUAAAGCGUGCGUAGACGGUUAUUUAAGUCGGGUGUGAAAGCCCCGGGCUCAACCUGGGAAUUGCAUUCGAGACUGAAUAGCUAGGGUACGGUAGAGGGAAGCGGAAUUUCCGGUGUAGCGGUGAAAUGCGUAGAUAUCGGAAGGAACAUCAGUGGCGAAAGCGGCUUCCUGGACCAGUACCGGCGUUCAGGCACGAAAGCGUGGGGAGCAAACAGG